CUUCUCGCCUCUCUGCCGACGAGAACAGAGGAGGGGGAAAGUGGGUUGUUGGCGAUCAGUGAAGGGAGUAGAGCCAUUGCUGUCGACACUGCUCUCCUUCUGCGAGCUGAGGGAAGAAGCAGGGCGACAGCGUGCAGCCCGCUGCUCUCCUCCUUCCGCUUCUCAUAGCGAGGAACAAAGGGAGAAGAGAACAGAUCUCUCAUCGCCCUUCCUCUUCUUCCUCUUCUCGCCUCUCUGCCGGCGGGAACAGAGGAGGGGUAAAUUGGGCUGUUGGCGAUCGGUGAAGGGAGAAGAGAACUCCGUUCAGGAUCGAAAACCUUCUGCGGCCUGGGAGAUCCUCUGCUCUCCACAGAGGAGCAGAGAGCGGCGAUCUGCUCACCCAAACACCCUAUAGGGCACGCCUUCUCUGGACCGAGAUCGGCGCUCGGUGAAGCGAGGAGAUCUCACCACUACUGCUGGGCGACGGCGGCGGAGAUUCUUCCAGACUGCUAGCAACGGGAUGGCUGUGAUCGUCGACCUGCUGUGAUCGCACCCUUCCCUCUGCAGCCCCUCUGCUCUCCUUCUUCCUCUUCUCAAAGAAUCGAGGAGAAGAGGCACCGGCAAAGGAGGAGAGAUCGCACCAUCUGCUCUCCUCCUUCUUCCCCCUCCCCAAGAAUAGGGGAGAAGCAGCAGGCGACCAGUUGGGAGAGGAUUCAUCGGCGAAGCAGAGGAGAGAUCGGAGGAAGGCUGCUGCGAUCGCACCCUUCUUGUGGUCAGCGGUGCUCUGCCGGGGCCGGCGGUUCUGCAUCCCCUGCUCUCCUCCUGUUCUACUCUGUGGAACAGAGGGUUUCUUUGGGGGCGGCACCUGCGUGCAGCCCUCUACUCUCCUUCUUCCCCUUCUCAUAAGGAGGAACAAAGGUGAGGUGGGCUGGGUGAUAGCGGUGGUGGUUGCAACGGGAAGGCUGGGAUCAUCGACCUGUGAUCUCCCUAUGCAGCCCGUCUUCCCAAGGAACAGGGAUCCGUGCAGCCCCUAGCUUGCCAUCUCAUCAGCGAAACAGAGAAGAAGCGAUAGUUCUGCCCGCUCCUCGUCUUCUCGGUUGAAUAGAGGAGGAUUUCUUUGGGGGCGGCAAGUGUGCCCUUCCAGCGACAGAUCGGUUGCUCGCAAGGACAUGACAGCGAUGGUCCCUGGGGUCGGUGACGGCGGUGGGAGGGUAGAUUUGAUGGUGAGGCUCUCUACCCUUACCUCUCAAGUUGUUCCUCCGCUAUCUUCUUUCCGGUGAGAUGCUCCUUCGACGAAGCAGCAUCGAAGUAUGUCGUGCUCUAGAUCGCGGCCUCUUGCUCCUAUUUCUAGUGACCCUCGGCCUUGGACUAGCCUCUUCAAGGCUCCGGUUGAAAGUCCAGAUCUCAGCUUGGAUUUCUUUGCUCCAGAAGUUCAGGUUGAUAAAAAGAUUGCUGUGUACGAAACUACUGAUUCCGCAGAGCUGAUUGAGACAUGGCCUAUGACGAUUGUUGGCUAUGUGGUAGGUCUCAAAACAUCAUAUUUCCCACUAUCGUCAUUUAUCAAAACUAGAUAGGGAACAUCGGCAUUUGAUCUUCAUAUGCUGGAGAACAGUUUCUUUGUUUACAAGCUAUACUCCGAAGAAGAUUUGCAACGGGUCCUUGAAGGGUUCUGGACUAUUCGUGAUCAUCCAAUGAUUCUAUGAUGCUGGUCCCUUGAUGUCUAUUUGGAGUUAGAUAGCCUAUAGUCUAUUCCCUUAUGGGUAUCCUUUCAUGGUUUUCAUCUACAUCUUUGGAAUCGAUGUUUUAUUGUAAAGUUAUGCAGCACUUUGGGAUAACCACUCUACAUUGACAAAGCAAAGACAUAAUUAGCAUUUGCUUGAGCAUGUGUACUGGUUUCUUUCGACGAAGAUCUUCCUAAUGAGGUUUUUUAUCAUGAUCUUGA